rnacentral:rRNA from 1 species
GACGAACCGUGCGAACGUUGUUCGGAAUCACUGGGCUUAAAGGGCGCGUAGGCGGGUCAUCAAGUCAGGGGUGAAAUACUUCGGCCUAACCGGAGAAGUGCUUUUGAUACUGGUGACCUCGAGGGGUGCAGGGGCAUGUGGAACUUCCGGUGGAGCGGUGAAAUGCGUAGAUAUCGGAAGGAACGCCGGUGGCGAAAGCGACGUGCUGGACACCUUCUGACGCUGAGGCGCGAAAGCCAGGGGAGCAAACGGG